rnacentral:rRNA from 1 species
AACGAACGCUGGCGGCAUGCCUAACACAUGCAAGUCGAACGAGACCUUCGGGUCUAGUGGCGCACGGGUGCGUAACGCGUGGGAACCUGCCCUUAGGUUCGGAAUAACUCCCCGAAAGGGGUGCUAAUACCGGAUAAUGUCUUCGGACCAAAGAUUUAUCGCCUUUGGAUGGGCCCGCGUUGGAUUAGCUAGUUGGUAGGGUAAAAGCCUACCAAGGCGACGAUCAGUAGCUGGUCUGAGAGGAUGAUCAGCCACACUGGGACUGAGACACGGCCCAGACUCCUACGGGAGGCAGCAGUGGGGAAUAUUGGACAAUGGGCGCAAGCCUGAUCCAGCCAUGCCGCGUGAGUGAUGAAGGCCUUAGGGUUGUAAAGCUCUUUUGUCCGGGACGAUAAUGACGGUACCGGAAGAAUAAGCCCCGGCUAACUUCGUG